rnacentral:tRNA from 1 species
AGGGAGUUAGUCUAACCAAAAGACAGCUGGUUUCGGCCCAGCAGAUUGCAGCCAACCCUGUGACUCUCUU